rnacentral:rRNA from 1 species
GAUGAACGCUGGCGGCGUGCCUAAUACAUGCAAGUCGAGCGAACGGACGAGAAGCUUGCUUCUCUGAUGUUAGCGGCGGACGGGUGAGUAACACGUGGAUAACCUACCUAUAAGACUGGGAUAACUUCGGGAAACCGUAGCUAAUACCGGAUAAUAUUUUGAACCGCAUGGUUCAAAAGUGAAAGACGGUCUUGCUGUCACUUAUAGAUGGAUUCGCGCUGCAUUAGCUAGUUGGUAAGGUAACGGCUUACCAAGGCAACGAUGCAUAGCCGACCUGAGAGCGUGAUCGGCCACACUGGAACUGAGACACGGUCCAGACUCCUACGGGAGGCAGCAGUAGGGAAUCUUCCGCAAUGGGCGAAAGCCUGACGGAGCAACGCCGCGUGAGUGAUGAAGGUCUUCGGAUCGUAAAACUCUGUUAUUAGGGAAGAACAUAUGUGUAAGUAACUGUGCACAUCUUGACGGUACCUAAUCAGAAAGCCACGGCUAACUACGUG